rnacentral:lncRNA from 10 species
GGAAGAAUGUCUCCAUUCAAAUCCCUCGCAGGAUACAGUCUAUUUUGGAAGCCACUUAAUGGCAAAGGUGAGCAAUGUGCCCAAGCUUGUACUUAUUUACAGAGCCCUCCUUCCCACUGUUUUCUCCAAAUGCCACCCCUGGCUCAAGGGCUUUGCCUGAUCGUCACGGUAUUAGCGUUGAACACUAUCAAGGCUGCUCUGUGGGCCCAGCACUCCAGCAAAUGAAUAGAAACAUAAUGUUCCUGCCAAGCUGAUUUAUCUAUCAUUUAACCAGAGUGAGCGAGAGAAGAAACAAACAGUGGGAGAAGAUGUCUCACGCACACUGAAGUUAGACCACUGCAAAACUGAGCCAGACGGCUUUGUUGUGCAGCUUUCUGAUGCCUCCAGGGGACAGCUGCUUAUCGGAGGGAGACUAUUAUGGGGUUGGGGCUGGAGAUGUUCCAUGCAGCAUCCUGCAAGGGGAAGCAGUUACUUUAUGAGAGCGAUGCUUCAACCAGCUAACUGGAUAGCCCUCCCUUUUGCAGCUGGUGUGGGUGAAGAUGUGGAAGCUUGAUUCUCCUUGGAAGCUCUGAUCACCCCAGCCCAGAACCACUAGUCCCCACUUAGUCUUGGAGAGGAGGCAAGGAUGUGUGUCCUCUGCGUGUAGCCUUACGGUCUGCAAAUGCUUAUGAAAACCUAUGAAAGAGAGACUAUUCAUUUUAGUUCCAUUUUAGAGAAAAAAAAAAAAAACCUGAAGCUUAGAACAUUUAAGAAAUUUUCCCUAAAUCCAUCUAGCUAGCAAGAAGUGGGGACAAAAUGAGAGUCCACUUGGCUCUCAGAUCCAGCCUCAAGUACCUUUGAGAGCCACAGGGGUUGCACAACAUGGACUUCCUCUGCUAGAGUGGGAAGACAGUCUUUUUUACAUGAAGAGAUUAGGAUAGGCUGGGCGCAGUGGCUCACACCUGUAAUCUCAACACUUUGAGAGACAGAUCACUUGAGGUCAGGAGUUCAAGACCAGCCUGCCAACAUGGUGAAACCUCAUCUCUACUAAAAAUACAAAAAUAGCCAGGUAUGGUGGCAUGUCCCUGUAAUCCCAGCUAUUCGGGACCUUGAACCCGGGAGAUGGAGAUUGCAGUGAGCCAAGAUCACGCCACUGCACUCCAGCCUGGGCGACAGUGCAAGACUCUGUCUCAAAAAAAAAAAAAAAAAAAAAAAAACUUAGAAUAAAUUUUAGGUAAUCAUUAAGUGUAUUUUCAUUUACUGACAUUGUUUGAUCAUGUUCUUACACCAUCAAGUCUGUUUCAUCUCCUCAUUAGACUCUAAGAUUCUCAAGAAUAAGAACCAUAUUUCCUUUUAAAUCAUUUUCUUCCUUGCUUCCCUUCACUAAGGUAAUUUCUGACUUGAUUAAAAAGUGUCCCCAGUCUGUGUCACCUGGCAGGGCACAGCUUAGAAUGCAAUUGCUGGAAUUUAGUUCCAUAUUUUUUUCAUAACUUUUCUAUCAAGCCAGCUGCAACUUCAAUAUGUGAUGCAUUGCUUCUGAAACCAAUGUUUGCUUCUAAUCAUCCAUAUAUACUUACUACCAAGAAGACUUAGGUACACGCUUAGUCCCUUAGACAAAGGCGGGGUUGGGAGACCCUAAACAAGUAUUGUUAUCAGAGCUCUGUGUUCUCCAUACCCCGUUGGUAAAGGGCAUGUGUGCUGUGUGUGGUCAAGACUUCAUUCCUAACAUUCUCCUGUAGUUCCACUGACUAAACUCUCAUGAUAUUCAGUGUUGUCAUCAUUUGGAAAACAUGUUUAUACUCAUACUUACGCUCCAUCGUCAGCCAAGCCAAUUUUGCUGUCUUUAUCUUAGAAUAUGCAACAUAAAUAUUAGGCCAAGCACUUCAAAAAAAGCACACAGAGUACCCUCCCAAAAUUCAAAAUGCAGAUUUUAAAGACAGACUUUAAUAUAUCACAUAUUAUCGGAGAAAGGAAGACAUGUCAUUAUCAUGUUAGGGCAGGGUGUCAUAUUUACAAUACACCAUCAAUAAAUCAAAAGAAAUUCAGUGAUCCCGUGGAGUAUUGGUUAAAAAUCUUUCUCAAAAGUCAUUUCUCAGGAAGUCAUUUCACAUGGAUUAUUUUCGUCUUGACUUGCUUCUUACUCAGAGAUAGAAAUUCUUGCAGGAAACUAUUUUAAUUGAGAACAAAGGGUAUUAUUCCCAAAGUUCAAGUAAAAUAUUUUUAAAAAGAAAAGUAAAAGUGCACGUGAGACUAAAAGGUCAUUGUCCCAAUUUGAAAUAGACUUUCUGCACACAUUCUCAUUGUCAGGAACCCAGAAAUAUCAGCCCUGUCGACCAAAAGGAAGGCCCCUUAGUGAGGCAAGCAAAUCUCAACAUGAGAAUACCAAGGUAGGAAUGUCCAAUUUCACCACAAGUUUCUGGAUACUGUCUCAAGGGAAAACUUCAGAGAAUUUGCACACCAUCUGAAUACAUAAGAGCAGGCAGAUCAUCAAUGUGGGGCAAAUAAAUUAGUGAUAACUUUCAUAGCAACAGAAAAAUACUAUAGCAGCAGGUCUACAUGCUAUGAAAUGGACAUUUGACUAAGCUCCUUUCUCAGGUGUCAUCAGAACAAUGUUUUUUUCCUCACCUGAGUGUAAAUUCCUCUAAUAUAAUUUAUAUUUAUUUGAAAACCUAGACAUUUAAUAAGAUAUUUUAUUUAUUUUUAUUUUUUAAAGUCAGGUAUAUUGAUAUAUAAUUAACAUACAGUAAAAUUUACCCCUUUUAGGUGUACAGUUCCAUGAGUUUUGAAAAUAUAAAGUUCUGUAACCACCACCACAAGUACGUAGAAGGAUUCCAUUAGCUCAGAAUGUUCUCUUAAAGACAGACUUUGAUAUACCACAUAUUAUCAGUUCUCUUGUGCCUCACUAUAGUCAAUUCCCCUUCCCCACCUCCAGCCCAACGCAACCAGUGAUCUGUAUCCUGAUUCUGUGUUAUCCAGAAUGGCACACAAAUGGAAUCAUAAAAUACAUAGCACUCUGAUGUGAAUUGACUUUUUAAUUUUUUUUUAAUCUUUUAUUUUAGGUUCAGGGGUACAUGUGCAGGUUUGUUACAUAGGUAAACUCAUGUUAUGGGGGUUUGGUGUACAGAUUCUUUCAUCACCUAUGUACUAAGCAUAGUACCCAGUAGGCAUUUUUUUCUGAUCUUCUCUCUCCUCGCAACCUCCACCCUUAAGUAGGCCCAGUGUCUGUUGUUCCCAUCUCUAUUUCCAUGUGUUCUCGUUAUUUAGCUCCCACUAAUAAGUGAGAAGAU